CCCAUGGCUCACGCCAUGGGCUACUCUCUGGCGCUCUUACGGGCU
rnacentral:sRNA from 1 species